rnacentral:rRNA from 1 species
CUACGGGCUGCGCAGGCGAGAAAACUUUGCAAUGUGCGAAAGCACGACAAGGUUAAUCCGAGUGGUUUGUGCUAAACGAACCUUUUGACAGUCCUAGAAACACUGUUGAAUAAGGGGUGGGCAAGUUCUGGUGUCAGCCGCCGCGGUAAAACCAGCACCUCAAGUGGUCAGGAUGAUUAUUGGGACUAAAGCAUCCGUAGCCGGCUCUGUAAGUUUUCGGUUAAAUCUGUACGCUCAACGUACAGGCUGCCGGGAAUACUGCAGAGCUAGGGAGUGGGAGAGGUAGACGGUACUCGGUAGGAAGGGGUAAAAUCCUUUGAUCUAUUGAUGACCACCUGUGGCGAAGGCGGUCUACCAGAACACGUCCGACGGUGAGGGAUGAAAGCUGGGGGAGCAAACCGGAUUAGAUACCCCGGUAGUC